UUUCACAAGCAUUCAAGAAAACAGAGCAAACGCACUCAGUUUUGCUGUGCAGAGAAGGGCCCAGAAGCACCAGGUCCGGGAUCACCCAGCCUGGAGCACGUUCCCGGCGGAGGCAGAACCGCAGACACGCAACGCUGCAGCAGCGUAAGUCUGUUUGUUGUUACGAGAAAAAAUUGGAUGAAGAUUCUGCAAGUCAGAAUUGUUUGUGUGCAAGUCACUGGGCUGCUCACCCUUUGCAGAUCAUGGACCAUGAUGUGCCCUUGGCCACCUCUGUCUUCUCCAGCUGAAUAACAGAAGCCUUCCAAUAGGUCCUUAAAGAGAGGUCAAGCCCUGAAAUGCUCACACCUGUGUUUGCAGUCAGACACCCCAGUGCUCUGUUGAUCAGGAUGCGGUCGUUCUGUUUCCUGCCGUGAUAGAAGUGCUUGUGUAUUUCAGUGGUCACACACCACUGAUGGUUGCAGCAGUGAGGGAGUAUGUAAGGGGGACCUGAGAAUAUGUAUGUAUAAUUCCAUGGAGGUGAUGGAUACUUUAAAAAAAAAUAAAAAUAAAUCUAAGUUC